rnacentral:rRNA from 1 species
AAUGGUUGGAAAUCAUUCAUAGAGUGUAAAGGCAUAAGGGAGCUUGACUGCGAGACCUACAAGUCGAGCAGGGUCGAAAGACGGACUUAGUGAUCCGGUGGUUCCGCAUGGAAGGGCCAUCGCUCAACGGAUAAAAGCUACCCCGGGGAUAACAGGCUUAUCUCCCCCAAGAGUUCACAUCGACGGGGAGGUUUGGCACCUCGAUGUCGGCUCAUCGCAUCCUGGGGCUGUAGUCGGUCCCAAGGGUUGUGCUGUUC